GCCCGGAUGGUGGAAUUGGUAGACACAGGAGACUUAAAAUCUCCCGGCCUUACGGCUGUGCGGGUUCAAGUCCCGCUCCGGGCACCA
rnacentral:tRNA from 1 species